rnacentral:rRNA from 1 species
GAUGAACGCUGGCGGCGUGCCUAAUACAUGCAAGUCGAGCGAACAGACGAGGAGCUUGCUCCUCUGGCGUUAGCGGCGGACGGGUGAGUAACACGUGGAUAACCUACCUAUAAGACUGGGAUAACUUCGGGAAACCGGAGCUAAUGCCGGAUAAUAUAUUGAACCGCAUGGUUCAAUAGUGAAAGACGGUUUUGCUGUCACUUAUAGAUGGAUCCGCGCCGCAUUAGCUAGUUGGUAAGGUAACGGCUUACCAAGGCAACGAUGCGUAGCCGACCUGAGAGGGUGAUCGGCCACACCGGAACUGAGACACGGUCCAGACUCCUACGGGAGGCAGCAGUAGGGAAUCUUCCGCAAUGGGCGAAAGCUUGACGGAGCAACGCCGCGUGAGUGAUGAAGGUCUUCGGAUCGUAAAACUCUGUUAUUAGGGAAGAACAAAUGUGUAAGUAACUAUGCACGUCUUGACGGUACCUAAUCAGAAAGCCACGGCUAACUACGUG